rnacentral:RNase_P_RNA from 2 species
UAAAUCGUUCUAUCGUGUUUCGUUUUAACGGGAUAAGGAAAGUCCGGGCAGCAUAGAGUACCAUACCUUAUGAAAAUAGGGGUGUUUUGUUUUAAAGCAAAAUAACAGAAAGUGCCACAGAAAAUAUACCGUCAUGUCUUUGGCGUGAUAAGGGUGAAAAGGUGAGGUAAGAGCUCACCGCUCUAGAGGUAACAAUAGAGGCAUGGAAAACCUUAUGGGCUGAAAGGUCAAAUAAACCGAAUUUAAAGUUACUCGCUUUUUCGGAGGGUGGACUGCUUAGAUAAAUGAUAGAAUGCUGAUGUUUAUCAGCAACAGAACCUGGCUUAUAGAUUUAUAAA